GUACAGAGCCCACCCUCCUUACUUGUUCUCAUGCUGGAGAGCGAACCAGCCCCAUGGUCCAUAUGCAGCUGGACCAGGUAUACCUGGAGGUCCUGGAGGUCCUGGGGAAAGGGAGCAGCCAUCAGUGACACUAAAGCUUCUUAGAGCGGGAGUGCAGGAUACGAUGUGAAAGGUUUGCAAAGGAUGUAGAAAUUCCACCUCCACACGCCUCAGUCCA